rnacentral:rRNA from 1 species
UACGUAGGGCGCAAGCGUUGUCCGGAAUUAUUGGGCGUAAAGGGCGCGUAGGCGGCUUUGCAAGUGACGGGUGAAAUCCCUCGGCUUAACCGAGGAACUGCCUGUCAGACUGCAUGGCUUGAGACCGGGAGAGGUGAGUGGAAUUCCCAGUGUAGCGGUGAAAUGCGUAGAUAUUGGGAGGAACACCAGUGGCGAAGGCGGCUCACUGGACCGGUACUGACGCUGAGGCGCGAAAGCGUGGGGAGCAAACAGG